rnacentral:rRNA from 1 species
GACGAACGCUGGCGGCGUGCCUAACACAUGCAAGUCGAGCGGGGAACGGAUGGUAGCUUGCUACCGUUUGUUUCUAGCGGCGGACGGGUGAGUAACGCGUGAGCAACCUGCCUUUAUCAGGGGGAUAACGCAUCGAAAGAUGUACUAAUACCGCGUAAGACCACAGCUUCACAUGGAGCGGGGGUCAAAGGAGCAAUCCGGAUAAAGAUGGGCUCGCGUCCGAUUAGCUAGUUGGUGAGAUAACAGCCCACCAAGGCGACGAUCGGUAGCCGACCUGAGAGGGUGAUCGGCCACAUUGGAACUGAGAGACGGUCCAGACUCCUACGGGAGGCAGCAGUGGGGAAUAUUGGGCAAUGGGCGAAAGCCUGACCCAGCAACGCCGCGUGAGGGAAGAAGGGUUUCGGCUCGUAAACCUCUGUCCUAUGGGACGAAG